rnacentral:rRNA from 1 species
GAUGAACGCUGGCGGCGUGCCUAAUACAUGCAAGUCGAGCGAACAGACGAGGAGCUUGCUCCUCUGACGUUAGCGGCGGACGGGUGAGUAACACGUGGAUAACCUACCUAUAAGACUGGGAUAACUUCGGGAAACCGGAGCUAAUACCGGAUAAUAUAUUGAACCGCAUGGUUCAAUAGUGAAAGACGGUUUUGCUGUCACUUAUAGAUGGAUCCGCGCCGCAUUAGCUAGUUGGUAAGGUAACGGCUUACCAAGGCAACGAUGCGUAGCCGACCUGAGAGAGUGAUCGGCCACACGAGAACUGAGACACGGUCCAGGCUCCUACGAGAGGCAGCAGUAGGGAAUCUUCCGCAAUGGGCGAAAGCCUGACGGAGCAAGGCGGCGUGAGUGAUAAAGGUCUUCGGAUCGUAAGACUGUGUUAUUGGGGAAAAACAAAUGUGUAAGUUACUAUGCACGUCUUGACGGUACCUAAUCAGAAAGCCACGGCUAACUACGUG